AAACGUGGAAUAAUACCUGAUAGUCUCUACGGAGUAAAUGAUGCCUUCGGGUGUCGCUAAAGGAUGGGCUCGCGGCCUAUCAGUUUGUUGGUGAGGUAAAGGCUCACCAAGACUACGACGGGUAGCUGGUCUGAGAGGACGAUCAGCAACACUGGAACUGAGACACGGUCCAGACACCUACGGGUGGCAGCAGUCGAGAAUCAUUCACAAUGGAGGAAACUCUGAUGGUGCAACGCCGCGUGGAGGAUGACGGCCCUAGGGUUGUAAACUCCUGUCAUUGGGGAGUAAGACUUAUGCGUUAAGAGCGUGU
rnacentral:rRNA from 1 species